GAAAUGUCCCAGAAACUUAGUAUAACUUUACUUUCUGAAAAUGAAGAAACCUGUCCUUGGGCAUUAGUGUGUUGGAUUUAAGCAACAAAGUUAAAAAAACCUACCCUGUGUUAUGGCAAUUUUCACUCAAUGGUGGUUCUAUAACACAGAUAUCAGUGAACCUUUAUAGAAGAUGAACAACUUUUCAACUUGCUUAAUUUCAGUUAAUUAACAUGUAUACUUAUCUAUGUUAAUGUUUUAUUGCUUAAAAUGUUUAAUUAUUAUCUUUGGUAAGCACAUAGUUUUUUCUCUCCCCGUCUUCCUUCCAUCUUUCAUUACUACAAUUUACCAUGCAGAGCUCACAGUGUCUCUCUGCACCAAGCUCCAUGACUCAGGAUUUGCCUGGAGUUCCUGGGAAAGACCAGUUGUUUUCACAGCCUCCAGUGUUAAGGACAGCUUCACAAGAGGGUUGCCAAGAACUUACACAAGAACAAAGAGAUCAACUGAGGGCAGAUAUCAGUAUUAUCAAAGGCAGAUACCGGAGCCAAAGUGGAGAGGAUGAAUCCAUUAACCAACCAGGACCAAUCAAAACCAGACUGGCUAUUA
rnacentral:sRNA from 1 species